AAUGAACGUUGGCGGCGUGGAUUAGGCAUGCAAGUCGAGCGAGAACCCCGCAAGGGGGGACAGCGGCGAAAGGGACAGUAAUGUGUAGAUUAUCUGCCCUCAGGUCCGGGAUAGCUGCGGGAAACUGCAGGUAAUACCGGAUAACAUCUCCGGAUCAAAGGUGUGAUUCCGCCUGAGGAUGAGUCUGCAUCCUAUUAGCUAGUUGGUGGGGUAAUGGCCUACCAAGGCAUUGAUGGGUAGCAGGUGUGAGAGCACGACCUGCGUCAUUGGGACUGAGACACUGCCCAGACACCUCCGGGUGGCUGCAGUCGAGAAUCUUCGGCAAUGGGCGCAAGCCUGACCGAGCGACGCCGCGUGUGGGAUGAAGGCCUUCGGGUUGUAAACCACUGUCAGAGGGGAUGAAAUGCAGGUGGGUUCUCCCAUCUGUUUGACAUAGCCUCAGAGGAAGGACGGGCUAAGUUCGUG
rnacentral:rRNA from 1 species